CCGUCUCCAUGCGACCCGGGACCGGCGCCACGUCACGGUCCUCUCCGGGUUCUGCUGCCAGCUGUCUGGGAAAGCCGAACCCACACAGAACCCGUCCGGGGUCUUGGAGGUUCCGGAGAUUUCCCCUGGUCCUCCAGGCAGGAAGCCCAGGUUCGGGACUCGGUUCUGGAGAACAGAUUUGGGUCCAGAUGUUCUGGUCCGGUUCCAACAGCCGCGGAACCGCUAAAAACCCAGAAGCUCCGGAACAUUUAUUGUUACUAUUGAUAUUAUUAUUGAACUAGUUACAAACGGCUAAUAAAGCAGAUAAAGUUUAUUUCCAACAAACAUCAUCGCAAGUAGAUUAAUGAUAAAAUAGAAAUUAAAUUAAAUUUAGUAGAAAAAAGACAAAUUUAACUUGGCAGAGCUUCCAAAAUAAAACCCAAACAGUUUUCCUCUUGAGCUGAAGGUCAGAGAACCGAUGAGGUCCAGUCGGACCCAGAUCAGUCAGAUUUGUUCUGUACACUUCAAAGAGCUUCAUCAUAAAAACAUAAAGUCAACAAUCAAACUUCACAUGAAGUCGAGUUCCU